CGACGGCGGGCCGGAAAAUCCCGGCGGGGCGGCGGCGCUGCCCGCCCUUUCUGCCGCCAGCUUUGCAAGGCAAUUGUGAAGCACUCAGCAGAGAUCUGCCCGGGAGGAAAAGCAGAGCCAAUCUCUGAGAAGAAGGGACGUGCGAGCUCUGGCGAGGACGGCUGCUCCCCCUGGCCUUGGUGUGGGACCUCCUGAGCUGCCAUUCCUGUGGUGGGAGUGUUCCUCCUCUCCUCCGGCCAAGCCAGAGACCGCCUAGGGAAGGAGCAGGGCAGGACAGCGUUCAGACUGAAAGUGUAAGAAGAUGUGGAGGGAGACAGAGAAUCUGACAGGAGCACCGGAC